rnacentral:tRNA from 1 species
GCCCCUGUAGCUCAGAGGAUAGAGCAGCGGUUUCCUAAACCGCGUGUCGUGCGUUCGAGUCGCACCAGGGGUACAA